rnacentral:tRNA from 1 species
GGGGGUAGAGCUCGGUGGUAGAGCACGUGCUUGGCAUGCACGAGGUCCUGGGUUCAAUCCAGCGCCUCUG